rnacentral:rRNA from 1 species
GCCCCGACCGAUAGAGAGCAAGUACGGUCCCAGACCGAUAGCGAACAAGUAGAGUGAUCGAAAGAUGAAAAGCACUUUGGAAAGAGAGUCAAAAAGCACGUGAAAUUGUUGAAAGGGAAGCGCUUGCAGCCAGACUUGCCUGUAGUUGCUCAUCCGGGCUUUUGCCCGGUGCACUCUUCUGCGGGCAGGCCAGCAUCAGUCCAGGCGGCCGGAUAAAGGCCUUGGGAAUGUGGCUCCCUUCGGGGAGUGUUAUAGCCCAGGGUGCAAUGCGACCAGCUUGGACUGAGGUCCGCGCAUCUGCUAGGA